CCGUGUUAGCCUAGUUUCCCCAAUCACACCCUGUAUUCCUGCUUAUUGUUCUCGACAUGUCAGCUGAGACGCCAAUCCCUCUCACAGGUGUGCUGUAAGACAGUAGAAAGUGCAUUGUCUUGGAUUCUCUCUCUCUUACCACUCCAUAUCUUCUACCUCUGUAGGACCAGAGGCAGACUAAUGAUAACGAUGGUGUACUGAAAAAGUUCUGUCCAUCUCACCUGUUGUCCAGUUAGUCCAAAACAAACAUGACCUGCUUAUUGUACCCUACAGUGAUGACGGCACAGAACUCUGACGGUGCAGAUUGCCACAGCAGAUACAAGGGUCAUAGGGUCAUAGGGUCAUAGGUGCCAGGGAGAGGUGAUGUCCUGAAAAGAGACUUGCAGCAAGAUGGCAACAAACUGGAAGUCCACGUGAGAUGACAUCUGCACUGUCUGUGAAUCAUUAUUACAAAUUAUUACAGAUUUUCUAGAGGGACGAUCCAGGAGGAAUAACAUUGCUGCGGAUGGCAUAUCAGACAGAAAAGCUACACAGAUGGAUCAUAGGAAGAUUGAGGUGGUCUGGAAAACCUGUAAACAGCCCAGGUGACAGACCCAUGUCGAUAGUAGUAGAGUUCCUAAGGUUCAAGGACAAGAUGGUUGUUCUGGAGAGAGCCAAGAACUUGAGAGGAACCAACAUCUUCCUCAACGAGGACUUCUCUGAAGCUGUGCGCCAGAAGCGGAAAAAACGUAUCUCAGCUAUGAAAGCUGCCAGAGAGCGUGAGGACGUUGGUUACAUCCGCGACGACAAGCUCCUUGUCCUCCCAAAAGCCUGGGAGGAGAGAGAUAGCCAAGCUCCCGGGUCAGCUGCCUGGAGCCUCGCCUCCCAAUUCUGGCCACCAGUGGUUUAACUGUGGGCCCCCACUGCCGAGAACCCCACAGGGCUCAAGGGCCUGGAAGACAUGUGACACAUCAUGAGGAGUCUGAGGAAGAUACUGAUCAAUUGUGGAGCUCUCCAGAUUCCUCUGAUGAAAAAGAACGGAGGACCAGACCACGUCCAGCGCAACGUCCUCCUGAGCCAAAGUCCACUGCCAGCCAAACCCCACCCAUGCAAAACACUUGAUUGGUUUGAUAAGUGGCAACUCGUCACUAGUUUCCAUAUAGCCGUACUCCACCCGUAUCUAUCUAUCUUCCUGAAACAAUAACUUUCAGGAGUUUUUUUUUUUUCCUCUGUUUGAAUGGAGGCUGUCCUAUGUUUGGAGACGGUUAUGUCAUUCACUCAGAAUCCUUGGGCCCCUAUGGGCUGUGGGGUGGGUGUUUUCACAUUUGUCAUUAAUAAACAUGUUUCUAUAUUU